UUGGGGGUAGCUCAGUGGUAGAGCGCUUGCCUAGCAAGCACAAGGCUCUGGGUUCGGUCCCCAGCUCCGAAA
rnacentral:tRNA from 1 species